UCAUCGAUGGGGAUGCGUUCCAUUAGCUUGUUGGCGGGGUAACGGCCCACCAAGGCAUCGAUGGAUAGGGGUUCUGAGAGGAAGGUCCCCCACAUUGGAACUGAGACACGGUCCAAACUCCUACGGGAGGCAGCAGUGAGGAAUAUUGGUCAAUGGGCGCUAGCCUGAACCAGCCAAGUAGCGUGAAGGAUGACUGCCCUAUGGGUUGUAAACUUCUUUUAUAUGGGAAUAAAGUGCAGUAUGUAUACUGCUUUGCAUGUACCUUAUGAAUAAGGAUCGGCUAACUCCGUGCCAGCAGCCGCGGUAAUACGGAGGAUCCGAGCGUUAUCCGGAUUUAUUGGGUUUAAAGGGAGCGUAGGCGGGUUGUUAAGUCAGUUGUGAAAGUUUGCGGCUCAACCGUAAAAUUGCAGUUGAUACUGGCAUCCUUGAGUACAGUAGAGGUAGGCGGAAUUCGUGGUGUAGCGGUGAAAUGCUUAGAUAUCACGAAGAACUCCGAUUGCGAAGGCAGCCUGCUGGACUGUAACUGACGCUGAUGCUCGAAAGUGUGGGUAUCAAACAGGAUUAGAUACCCUGGUAGUCCACACAGUAAACGAUGAAUACUCGCUGUUUGCGAUAUACAGUAA
rnacentral:rRNA from 1 species